CUCCCUCCCGUCGCCCAGCACCCUCGAGCGUCGCCGUGUUUGUCGUCGCCCAACACCUGCGAGUCGUCGGCCUACCUCUACCCAUCGUCCCCCAACUUUCUUCCCCAUAGUCCAUUUCGAACAAGAGGGAGGGGUUCACAGGGACCACUCGUCGCCCAGCGCACCCUCCCUCCACCAGCGCCACCGUGCAACCCACCUCGAGUUGUUGUUGUCCCUCUCGUCACCCAGCACCUGCAAAUUGUUUGCCUCCCUUUGCUCAUCGCUGCCCAGCACCCGCGACUCAUACCUCUGUUUCGUCGUCCAUCUGCUCAGCAACAAGAGGUAACUCCACAUUAUUAAGUUCUUUGUACUGGUUUGAGGCAGAUUUUAUCUUUCAGAGAUGGGUGUUGGGCUUAGGGCAUGGAGAUAUAGAACUCCAUUUAUGCGUAUUGAUUAAAAUGUUAGUGAGUUGCAGAAAAUGCUUUCUUGAAGUUAAUGGUUGCUAGUGAUGAUCUUUGUUGGUUUGAAGUCUCGGUUAGCACAUUAUUUGUAAGUUGUUGAUAACUUGAGUGUUUGGGUAACAAUUGGUUGAGUACUUGAUAUUGGCUGUGCAACUAGAAAUCCUAAACAACUAUCUCGUCUGAAUGCUCUCUACCAAUUGCAUACCGUAGUUUAUGGUAUAUUUUCUCUUUAUAGGAGAGAUAUAAAUGCAUCUUUGAAUUUAUUUGAUUUUGAUAAACUGAAAAACCGAAUAGUGUUCUCCUUCUCUUUUGAUUUGGUGGGUUGGGGAAAACUAUGGCGUGACUGUUGUGCCGGUUCUCUUCUUUUGUGAAAACUGAGGUGAUGCUGCGGGUCAUUUUACAAAUUUAAAGGCACUGUAAAUAGCUUUAAAAUUGUGUCCAACAAUGGAAUUGAAUUGGAGAACUUCGUUUCACGACGGUUGCAAGUUCAUUUGGACUUGUGAUUAGUUUUAAGUUGGUACUUUCAUGCUCCAUUUGUGUGCUUGCUGAAAUAUAAUGACCUGUAUUGUUGGGUGGCUUACAGAGUACUUACACUACUUUGGAUUGGUUGAUCUUAGUCUCUUCUCAUGGCUUAAAAAUAAAAAGGGGGAAAAGAAAGGAAAUUUGUUGUACAGAUAUAGAUAUAGACACAUAGUGACAACAGUUCUAUCAGCAAGAUCUAAAACAUGAUCAGCAUUUACUUCCCAGCUAGUAAACCAUGUAAUUGCAUUCCUUCCUAGAUGAACCCAAGUGGAUAAGUAUUUUGUUGACUCGAGUGUUUGGGUAACAAUUAAUUGAGUUCUUUUAAGAUGAAAUGUCAAAAUCUACUUCGAUCUGGACAAAGGGAGGUGGAUGUCCUAUUUUAGGAUGCAAAUUUGUCAUCCAUACAUAUUCACAGAUUGGUUACGUACUGCAAGCAUGGUUUUUCCUGUUGAUAUUCUAACUUAUUCAAAUUACAGUGCUCUUGGGAAUCUGGCACAAAUUGAAGCAGCCAUCAAAGGAGGCUUUCAUGUGAAAUGGAAGGAAGAUAUUGCAGUUUGUUAUGCCUGCACCAAGUCUAAGGGAGUUUGUGGUUAUGAUGUGAACAAUAAAAAUAGAUGGAAACAAUUUAUACAUACAGUGGCAAUAUUACAGUAGAUGGAAACAAUCUAGAAGAUAGCAUGAAAUGUGUCUUUUUCUUAGUCAAUCAAGUUUAGUUGAAUUGUUGAGUAUGCUAGUUACUAGGAGAACCACCACUGCCACUGGCAUUUUAAUUAGUACAUGACAUGCUUUAUGAUUAGGAUUGUUGGAGCAAAACUUUACUGAAAAUACAUAAAUUAACUCUCUCUCUCUCUCUCUCUCUCUCUCUCUCUCUCUCUCUCUCUCUCUCUCUCUCUCUCUCUCUCUCUCUCUCUCUCCUCCAGAUUAACUUUAAUUUUUCUUAUGCAUGCUUCCUUGCUAUAUAUAUCAUUUUUAGAUUAGACUUUACAGAUUAGGAGUGAUUCAAACUCUGUUUCUAGUCAUGGAUAAUGUUUUUUUAUUUUUUAUUUUUAUUUUUGUAAUCUCUCUUUCUCAUGCUUUGUUUACCAUAUUAAGGAAUUCGAUCAGUUGAUAUUUAAUUAUUUGCUUUUAAUAUAUAAUUAAAGGGGUUCUUAGAAUUAAAAACCCACUUUAAGUAACUAAAGACCAUAUAUAUCUCAAUAGUCAUAAUAUGUAAAAGCUUAUCUCAUCAUGAUCACUAGUUAACUGAUCUCAUUUUAUACACACAGGUAAUUCCAAAGUUAUAAGUUGGGUGUCAGGGGAAAGCAUAUAGCAAUUAUGGAGGUUAUGGCUCUACAAUGGGAGGCUACAACUCUAAUUAUGGAUCUGGAAUUACAGAGGAUUCACUGAACAAGUUACUCUUUUUUGCAAAUAUUUUGAUUGGAUCUCAAAAUGUUCAUUCAUGUUAUGUAUUUAAAUAGCCACAAUAUACACAAUAUUUGUAUAACUGAAAUGAUUUUGAGUAUGGGGAUCUAUUCUUGUAUUUGUAUUAGUCAUUUGUAAAUACUUUGAUGGCAUUUAUAGUCAUGAAAAUGUGGUAAAAAUUCUUGUUAAAAGCA